AUGAGCAACGUGUAGUUGAGUUGGUGUGUGUUUGUUUUUAAUCAAUGUCGUUUAAACGGCUGUAGUUGAUUUAAUUAAAACUCAACAAUAACAACGACACCGCCAGCACUUAUAAACAAUACAGCACAGUUAUAUAAUGAUUAUAAUAGUGUAUUACAUCAAACUACACGGGUCUAUCAAUAUUCAUGGAUAUUCAAAACGUUUCCGUCAUGUGAGUGUGUGACAACACCUUUUAUAAUAAUACAUUAAACACGAUUCUCGAGACAUUACAACGUAAUACAUAGUUUUAUAAUAUUGUGUAGCUGUGUAGUGUAUGCUAUUAUAGCAACAAUAAUGCGACGAGAAGUCGAGAACAUUUUUCUUUAUUAAAUCACCGAAUUCGACUGCAUUACGCCGUACUAUCACGCGCCAAGGGCAUUAUUAUAAUAAUCCUUUGAAAGCAUUAAUUAUACGAUUUUUAUGAUGCUUUAAUUUUGGUAAGACGUUUUUAUCGGUUUUCAAAUUUUGAUAAUCGUAACGUUCAAUUAUACUGUUUAUUACUUUCUAUACGAUAUUAUACACGCGGAAGGUUACCGUACGGCGUAUAAUAUAUAAUGUUAUCAAAUGUUCGAUUUAGAUAUUAUAUUGGUUCAAUUUAGAAGUUUAUUGCGCACAAUAUAAUAUUAUAAUACACAACACGUGCAAUACGACCCAUUGGACGUUACUUAAUUGACGACUGUAAUAUGUAUAUAAAUGUACACAACAAUUAAACACGAUUAUAAACGUGAAAUCAUCGGCAUGUGCGGUGUAUCGGUGAAUUGUAUAGAUCUUCGACGCGCGACGGUCGUAAUUAUUUAUUAUGCUACGUUAAAAUUAAUGAUUACACUAUGAUGUAUAAUGACGAUGUGAAGACGAGAAAGCGGGAUAAGGAUAUAGGUAAAUGGUUGUUAGCACAAUAUCGUUUUUCUCAAAGUGAAAUAUUAAUAUGAUAGUAUUGUUUAAUCACCGCCAAUAACGUAUACUCCUCAAAGACUUCUCACUCGGACGUUUUUUUCGCUCGAUUAUUUGUCAAAACUGCAAAAUGUUGGCAUUGUAGUUGAAUAUCGUCGAUGUUCGUAGUGUAAAUUCACAUGGUGCCGCAGUCGUGAAGUUAUUAUUCAUUAAUUGAACGCGAGGGUCUCGGACAAUAGUCUUACAUAAUAUGACAUUCAAUAUCGUAUAUAUACGUAACGUCAGCCACGUAUAAUUAAUUAUUGUUGUAACGACGCAGAUACUUCGGAAAGAAUAAUAAUAAUAUAAUAACAUCCUAUUGUAACAAACGACGACGGUUGCGAAGACGUCGGCAUACCAGCCUUGUUAUUAUAUCGAAAUCCCCAUAAUCGAUGCCGAAAAUCCGAUUGAAAACAAAAACGUACCUAUAUAUCCUGUCGUCGACUGCACUUUCGCGGUGCGUAGUUCGCCUGCGCGACCGAUGACCGAUAAAAGCGACCCUCUCCCGCGAGAGCAGGAUGCAACGGACCGGACCUUAAUGAUAAACGGGUCCGAAAACGAGUGCGACCGGUUCGCGGAUCGGUCACGGAAAACGGAUUUAUUAAAAUCGAAGCGCAUACCUUUGUGUCGUAUACACAUUAUUAUUAAAAUGUUUAACGCGCACUAUACACCGGAGUAUAUUAUAUAAGUUUAUUAUUAUAUAUAUUGUAUAAUUUAUCGGAAGCGGUUAUCCCGGCCGGGAAUACUGGUUGUCGCAGCCUGCGCAGGACCCUGGGAAACGCUGCCAUUGCGACGGGGAGAGAGAUAGAGAGAGUAAAGAUGUAAUAAUAAUAAUAAUAAUAAGUUUUAUUAUUACGCGGUAUAGGUAUAUUACUAUAUUAUAAUAUCGCGGUGGCCGUCAUUUGAAUAAAAUCCAAUCGAUACAAUAUGCGAAAAUAUCCGCCGGACGACCCGGAGGAGCUGCAGUAGCACAAAGCGACAACAAAACGGAUUUACCCUCGGGCCACUGCAGUGUUCCGCGGCAGACGUUGUUGCACUUCGGCUGUAGCAAAAAUCUUGUGUUGCAAUUGAGGCCGUGCGGCGAGGAAGCCUACAAACUAUCGGUCCCGAGGAUGAGCGCCCGUUAAAAGGAUUCGUCGUGAAAGGCACAUACGUCACCGUCUCGUAUACUCAAAUAUGGGAACACGUUUCAAAAUGUCCGGUAAAAGUGGACAACACGACUUGGAGUAAACCACUAAUACGCAUUGGCGAGACUUAGGCGUGAGGUCCUAUCACUGUUCUACGGCACUCGACGGCGACGUGCGCGGAAUUUUUACAUGCAUCAUAAUAAUACUUACGUCCUUUGGCACCAUCACUCGAGAAGAGAACUGAAAAAUAAUAAUAAAAGAAAAAAAAACCGAAAAUCGUGCUCGGUUAAAAUAUAAAGCAAAAGACGCGUGCACCGUGAAGCGUGUAUAGGUUUUGCUGCAAUCGUAAUCGCAUUAACACGAAUCUAUAUUAUAUACUAUGUACAUAACUUAAUACAUAGCAAUAUUACGAUACACGUUAUUAUCAAAAAC